rnacentral:rRNA from 1 species
UACGUAGGGUGCAAGCAUUGUCCGGAAUUAUUGGGCGUAAAGAGCUCGUAGGCGGUUUGUCGCGUCUGCUGUGAAAACGCGAGGCUCAACCUCGCGCCUGCAGUGGGUACGGGCAGACUAGAGUGCGGUAGGGGAGAUUGGAAUUCCUGGUGUAGCGGUGGAAUGCGCAGAUAUCAGGAGGAACACCGAUGGCGAAGGCAGAUCUCUGGGCCGUAACUGACGCUGAGGAGCGAAAGCGUGGGGAGCGAACAGG